rnacentral:rRNA from 1 species
UACGUAGGGUGCGAGCGUUAAUCGGAAUUACUGGGCGUAAAGCGUGCGCAGGCGGUUCGCUAAGACCGAUGUGAAAUCCCCGGGCUUAACCUGGGAACUGCAUUGGUGACUGGCGAGCUAGAGUGUGGCAGAGGGGGGUAGAAUUCCACGUGUAGCAGUGAAAUGCGUAGAGAUGUGGAGGAACACCGAUGGCGAAGGCAGCCCCCUGGGUCAAGAUUGACGCUCAUGCACGAAAGCGUGGGGAGCAAACAGG